UACGUAGGGUGCGAGCGUUGUCCGGAAUUAUUGGGCGUAAAGGGCUCGUAGGCGGUUUGUCACGUCGGGAGUGAAAACUCAGGGCUCAACCCUGAGCCUGCUUCCGAUACGGGCAGACUAGAGGUAUGCAGGGGAGAACGGAAUUCCUGGUGUAGCGGUGAAAUGCGCAGAAUAUCAGGAGGAACACCGGUGGCGAAGGCGGUUCUCUGGGCAUUACCUGACGCUGAGGAGCGAAAGUGUGGGGAGCGAACAGG
rnacentral:rRNA from 1 species